UGGGGAAUUUUCCGCAAUGGGCGAAAACCUGACGGAGCAAUGCCGCGUGAAGGCCGAAGGCCCCCGGGUCAUGAACUUCUUUUCUCGGAGAAGGAAAAAUGACGGUAUC
rnacentral:rRNA from 1 species